ensembl:lncRNA
GUUCUCUUCUUCUGAUAACAUUUUAUCCAUAUGGUAAAAGUGUUCUCCAGAGGGUAUAGAGUACGAAGUCUGCCCUACUGAACUGAACUGGAUAAGGUACGUGAAAGUACAUGACACAGAUGUUAUGCAUGCUUUAGUAGCUGGUGUCUGAAGAAGUGAUUUAGCUAGGAAUGAGCUAAAUAAAGAACUGGAGUGUAUCUUUGCUCAUUACUUUGUAGCAAUUGAAAUUCACUUUGCUAAUAAAUUAAAUCUGAUUAAGUGUUAAAAGUCUACAAGGAUGGCAAGAGCAGAGAAUGACAAGUAAUUGUGGAAGGCUUGCGAUGAAAUGUGAGGGUUUUCCUGAUGGAAGUGGAGCUAAAUGGCUUUAAGGCUACAGCCUCCUUUCUCUGUGCCAACUCUUCUUAUAGAAACUAUACAAACCUCUUUGAUUACUCCUCUUGACUUUUUAAAAUUCAGAACAUGUCUUCCUUUUCCCUCAACAAGUCAGUCUAGGCCAAAAUGAGAUGGUGCAAUAGACAACAUCCCCUAAUACUUUCCUUUCAUAAAUAUAACGAAUGGAGAAUUUCCUCCCUCAACCUGGUGUUUUUUCACACCAGCUCUCAUGAGCUAGUUCAUAAAGUGGUCCAUGACCACUUGGCUGGACACAUCUUGGGGGCUGCAUGUCAUGGAGAGUGCAGGAUUUCAUUACAGUGCUAUUUGUCCCAGUGGUCCGUAAAACAAAAGUAGGUCUCAGUUCCCUCAGUCCCUUUUCUUGGGAUAUCUGGAACUCUCUGCAGCACUGUCUGCCCUCCUCUUUUGUGCAAUGAUUUUUGCCUGCUGAUUUGCCUGUGAUAUAAUCUGGAAGAUGUCUCAUCAGUAAACACUGAAUGCCCUUUUCUCAUUACCUUUGUUUUGCCCCAUUAUGUUCUUUUCUAUUUCUCUGGCACCUUUAUUUUCUUUCUCUUCCUCCUACUCCUGUGAGCCUCCUAUUUCCAAAUGCUGCCUGUCUUAUCAGCGCUGUCUGCAGCCAAAAAUACUAUUUGGAUAUCCUUUGUUCUUUGCAGACACCUCCGCUCUGAUCUUCAGACUAGUCUCCUUGUUGCCUUCUUCCCUGUUGUGCUUGGCAGGCUGCAGCAGAACUCCGGCUGGGAGCCAGAUCCUUAUCCUUCUCACCGAGGAUGUGCACCCAGUGAAGAACCAAGGUUUGCAUCAUGUGCCAGACAAAAGAUAUCUCAGAAGAAAGAACUGCAAAAACAUACACGUCCUAAAAAUCCUCCUCCAAACCCUGCCCGUCCACCUGCCAAAUCCGUGUAGGCUCCACUGAUGCUCCAAAUAUUCUAGAAAAAUCAGCAGAGCAGUCUCCAAAUGAGAUAAGAAGGAACAGACUGUACUUCCAGAUGAAGUCUCAGGGAGAAAAAGGAAUAAUUUUAUUGCUUGAAAGUAUUUAUAGUCAUUAAAAAAGCAGUAGGAUGCUGAAGAAAUCUGACUGAGUUUCUACUGCAAGAGGAGAAAGCAGCCAGAAGUGAUUCAGAAGUCCUUCCUCACCUCAUUAGGGCAUCAGUUUCCCGAUGCACAAACUCUGUAGCUAGACCCUCUGAAUCAGUUGUCACAACCAAUUUAUGCCCACAGUUUCAUUUUUAAUCCGAGGUCUCAGCAGCCAAGCAGUGCAACCUGACCCUAGCUCGCACAGAGUGGCUGUUAAGGAAUAAGUGCUGGUUUUGGUAAUUUGACGAGAAUCGCUAGAGGGGGUCAGAGUGGAUGCGGGACAAACUCCUUUGGGUUUGCAGAAGGAGACAAGGAGUGUGGUGACCAGGAAGCAGGGCUGUGGCCAUUGCCUACUGCUAUCUGGUAACGCUGUUUAUGCUGCCUGAUUAGUUGUGAAAUUUUGGGCAGUGACUUUUUGAAACUGUACUAAAUUUUGGUAUCUAAAACAUAGACUUGAGCUUUGAUGACUGGUGGAGGAAACAUCUAGGAAAAUUAGAUCAGAUUAAAAGUGCACACUCUAAAUGUCCAAGACACAGACGAAUCCUGCUUUUUGUAACUGUCACCUGUAGAGGAUCCAUCUUUGGCUAAAAAAAUAAAAAGCCCAUUCUAAUUAUGAAACA